GGCUUGAUGGUCUAGUAGUAUGAUUCCUUGUUAGGGCUCUAUCAUUUCGAGGAGGUCCCGGGUUCAAUUCCCGGUCAAGCCC